rnacentral:lncRNA from 1 species
CAAAGAAACCCUUACAAAUCCCACCAAAUCCCCCCCGGAGCUGUCUAAAGGGCUCGAGGCCACACCUCUUUCUAGGGUGCAGGACUGGUGGAGCGUGAUUGGAGAAAGGGUGCUGAAAAGAAGCCCCAUCCCUGGAAGAAUCUGCCUGCCCCACAGCUCCACCCCCACCCCGGGAGGGUGGGGAAUCCAACCGAGACUGAAGGCACAGCCCUGGGACCUAUACCCCUUGCUCUAGAGUGGACCAGUGGGGGAUGCAGAGCUGGACGAAGAAGUUACCUAUCACCGAGGCAAAAGGAAGGCUUCCCCAAGGCAGUGACGUCUCAGCUGCACUCUGCCCGUUAAGCUGGACUUGGCCUGAUGCAGGCAAAGGCAACCGGAGCAGCAUGGUCCCCGAUCACACCUGUUCGACGGUGAGCGGAGCCCCUGACAUGUGGGCUGGCCAGGGCCAGCGGCAGGAGGGAGCUUGGUGAGUGCCCGGAAUCCGCAGGCCGAUGCCGCCCCCGGAGAAGCGCCAGG